rnacentral:tRNA from 1 species
UGCGCGGUAGUCAGUGGUAGAGCUUUCGAUUGCAGCUCGAAGGGUCACUGGUUCGAACCCGGUCUCGCGCUU